CCUACGGGUGGCAGCAGUAGGGAAUAUUGCUCAAUGGGGGAAACCCUGAAGCAGCAACGCCGCGUGGAGGAUGAAGGUUUUCGGAUUGUAAACUCCUUUUGUUAGAGAAGAUAAUGACGGUAUCUAACGAAUAAGCACCGGCUAACACCGUGCCAGCAGCCGCGGUAAUACGGAGGGUGCAAGCGUUACUCGGAAUCACUGGGCGUAAAGGGCGCGUAGGCGGGAUAGCAAGUCAGAUGUGAAAUCCUAUGGCUUAACCAUAGGACUGCAUUUGAAACUGUUAUUCUAGAGUAUGGGAGAGGUAGGUGGAAUUCUUGGUGUAGGGGUAAAAUCCGUAGAGAUCAAGAGGAAUACUCAUUGCGAAGGCGACCUGCUAGAACAUAACUGACGCUGAUGCGCGAAAGCGUGGGGAGCAAACAGGAUUAGAUACCCCGGUAGUC
rnacentral:rRNA from 1 species